GACGAACGCUGGCGGCGUGCUUAACACAUGCAAGUCGAACGGAAAGGCCCUGCUUGCAGGGUACUCGAGUGGCGAACGGGUGAGUAACACGUGGGUGAUCUGCCCUGCACUUCGGGAUAAGCCUGGGAAACUGGGUCUAAUACCGGAUAGGAGCCAUUUUUAGUGUGAUGGUUGGAAAGUUUUUUCGGUGUAGGAUGAGCUCGCGGCCUAUCAGCUUGUUGGUGGGGUAAUGGCCUACCAAGGCGGCGACGGGUAGCCGGCCUGAGAGGGUGGACGGCCACAAUGGGACUGGGAUACGGCCCAGACUCCUACGGGAGGCAGCCGUGGGGAAGAUUGCACAAAGGGCGCAAGCCUGAUGCAGCGACGCCGCGGGGGGGAUGACGGCCUUCGGGUUGGAAACUCCUUUCGCUAGGGACGAAGCUUUUUGUGACGGUACCUAGAUAAGAAGCACCGGCUAACUACGUG
rnacentral:rRNA from 1 species